GGGAAACUGCCCGAUGGAGGGGGAUAACUACUGGAAACGGUCUAAUACCGCAUAACGUCUUCGGACCAAAGUGGGGGACCUUCGGGCCUCACCAUCGGAUGUGCCCAGAUGGGAUUAGCUAGUAGUGGGGUAACGGCUCACCUAGGCGACGAUCCCUAGCUGGUCUGAGAGGAUGACCAGCCACACUGGAACUGAACACGGUCCAACUCCUACGGGAGGCAGCAGUGGGGAAUAUUGCACAAUGGGCGCAAGCCUGAUGCAGCCAUGCCGCGUGUAUGAAGAAGGCCUUCGGGUUGUAAAGUACUUUCAGUGGGGAGGAAGGCGAUGGAGUUAAUAGCUUCGUCGAUUGACGUUACCCGCAAAGAAGCACCGGCUAACUCCGUGCCAGCAGCCGCGGUAAUACGAGGGUGCAAGCGUUAAUCGAAUUACUGGGCGUAAAGCGCACGCAGGCGGUCUGU
rnacentral:rRNA from 1 species